CAGUGCGCCCGCGCCCGCAGCCCGCCCAAAGUUUCCCCUUGGGCAUUCGCAGGAUCUGGGCUCUGGCACCAAGACUUCGCUCCACCCCCUUAUUUCCAAGCCGGGAAACCGGAGCCCCCAAGAGAGGGAAGGCCACCUGCCCAAGGUUACCCGGGCCAUAGCGACCCAGACCACCUCUAGUCCCGGCCGCCCAGAAACAAGUGACCCGGUGGAGCCUCAGUUUCCUCAUCUGGAAAAUGGGGCAGCAAGACUAAGACUUAAGCUGCAGAACGAUGGCUGAUCCAACCCCCAAAGGAAAGAAAUACUUCCCCUCAUCCAGCUGUUCUGAGACUUGAAAGGAGCUGAUAUAGGACACGUUCUGGCAUCUCCGGGUGAGGGGAGGAAGCUUCAGUUAUCAUCAUCAUCGUCAUGGUUUCUAAACUCGUAGGGACUCAGAUUCGGAAUUGGAAAGGGGGGUUGGGGAGUGGAAGUAGACUCCCAGCCCAAUACUCUUAUCACUGCAUCAGGAAGCCAUUCACAAGUCCUGAUCCUCUGGGCCAGGGAGCAGUAUCACCUCACUGUUAUCAAAACUUAGGAAGAAGAAAUGUAAACAAACGCUCGAUCACCACACACACACACUCACCCAGAAAAGAGGGCUGAUCAUGUGACAAGAGCAAGGUUAAAUGGACAAAGUUAGAGAUAUGGGAACUCCUGUGGGGAGGCUGCAGAGGGUCUCCAUGGGGAGAAGUCUCACAAGAGGGGCAGUUAAGAACAGUUUGUCAUCUGCAUUGAGGAAAGUAAUGAUUCCUUGUUAAGAUCUGUUUAAGUUUUCAUGAUUAUAACUGUCACUACCAUCUCCUUAACAAAACACUGAUGAACCCUUGAAAACAGGAACAUGUCUCCAGCUUCUUUGUUACCUCCAGAAUGGGGCCCAUCUCUAGUCCUCCUGACCUAUGUCUGGCCACUGGACUCUAUCGAUGACUCUGGAGGAGAUCGUGAAAUGGGUGACUUUGCAGAGUUGUGCCUCACUUUAAUUCAGUUCGUUUGCAAGUCAAGACAUCACCCUCCUGUUGUCCUCUUCAUGAACGAAAGGGCAAACAGCAACAACUAGAAUAAAACAAUGUCCAGAGUAGCAAUGGACUGGGCUGCCUGCUCUGUGGGAUUUCAAAAAUUCAAAAGAUCUUUGCUUUCUAAGGAACCUACAUGUCCUGUCUGCAGUAGCAACUCCUGAACAAAGGCACAAUUUCUGGUUUCCUGAUGCUGAUCUAAGAACAGCCCCUUUGGCUCUGACCUGGUGAUGACAGCUGAGCCAAUGGUCCUAGAAAUAGUUAGAAAGGAGAAGAAAGAAGAGGAAGA
rnacentral:lncRNA from 1 species